UUCCCCCUCUCUAAAGGGCUGCCUGUGUGCCCUUUUCAGGAAUGUUGCAACUUGGAAGAAGGCCAGGCAUGGCCAAGUUUAUGGUGAGCAAGGAAUACUUGUUUCUUUUGCUUUCUGUUGGCUGCCUAUAUGU